UACGUAGGGGGCAAGCGUUGUCCGGAUUUAUUGGGCGUAAAGAGCGUGUAGGCGGCUUUGCAAGUCCGUUGUGAAAACUCGAGGCUCAACCUCGAGACGCCGGUGGAAACUGCAAAGCUAGAGUCCGGAAGAGGAGAGUGGAAUUCCCGGUGUAGCGGUGAAAUGCGCAGAUAUCGGGAAGAACACCCGUGGCGAAGGCGGCUCUCUGGGACGGUACUGACGCUGAGACGCGAAAGCGUGGGGAGCGAACAGG
rnacentral:rRNA from 1 species